UACGUAGGGCGCAAGCGUUGUCCGGAAUUAUUGGGCGUAAAGAGCUCGUAGGCGGUCUGUCGCGUCGGAUGUGAAAACCCAGGGCUCAACCCUGGGCCUGCAUUCGAUACGGGCAGACUAGAGUACGGCAGGGGAGACUGGAAUUCCUGGUGUAGCGGUGAAAUGCGCAGAUAUCAGGAAGAACACCAAUGGCGAAAGCAGCUCUCUGGGACGGUACUGACGCUGAGACGCGAAAGCGUGGGGAGCGAACAGG
rnacentral:rRNA from 1 species